AGAAAUAGUCUCAGAGGUAUUACUGGGCAGGUUCCCGCCUAUUUGCACACACCCAGGGGACUUUAUGGGACAGUAUGGGGGAUGCUUGAACUGAUCAUCUUGGGUUCAGCUCCCAGGAUUGGCCCAUUGUGUUGAUGACCCUAUACCAUUCCUAUUGGAGGUACUCCUGGAGACUGUACGGUUGAUGGAUGAGCCUCAGUUAUUACAAGAGUGCAGGUUUUGGUGUAAUUGUGAUAUAUCAAACUAGCAAUCGCGCUCUGUUUAGGUUGCAGACUACUCCGAACAAAAUGCGCAGACAGUUUCCCCAGGUCAAGAUGUUAUGAGAUACUGAGGCCUUCAUAAGGCACACGUGCACCGCCUUGAUCGGGUGACGAGGCUGGGGAACC